UAGGAUUUGGUUAGGAUUUGAUUUAGGAUUUAGGAUUUGGUUUAGGGUUUAGGAUUUGUAUUAAGAUUUGGUUUAGGGUUUGGUUAGGAUUUGGUUAGGAUUUGGUUGGGAUUUGGUGUAAGGUUUGUUUAGGGUUUGAUUUAGGAUUUGGUUUAGGAUUUGGUUAGGAUUUUAUUUAGGGUUUGGAUUAGGAUUUGGUUUAGGAUUUAGGAUUUGGAUUAAGAUUUGGUUAGGAUUUGAUUUAAGGUUUAGGGUUUGGUUAGGAUUUAAUUUAGGAUUUAGGAUUUGAUUAGAGUUUGGUUUAGGAUUUAAGGUUUGGUUAGGAUUUGAUUUAGGGUUUAGGAUUUGUAUUAGGAUUUGGUUUAGGAUUUGAUUAGAGUUUGAUUUAGAGUUUAGGAUUUGGUUAGGAUUUUGUUAAGGUUUGGUUUAGAAUUUAGUUGGGAUUUGGUUUAAGUUUUGUUUAGGAUUUCAUUUAGGAUUUAGGAUUUUAUUAGGAUUUAAGAUUUAAUUAGGUUUGGCCUAAAGUUUGAAUGAAGUUCAAUAGGAUUUUAAGUAGAAUUAAAUUAAGAUUGAAUUGAGAUGUAUUUGAGUGAUAUUUGUUAUCUUUUUAAUAUUCUUUUAAGAAUUCUUAUUGUUUGUUUAAAAUUUCUUGAGGUUUUUUUGAAUUUGAUUGAAGCUUGCUUAGCAUUAUUAUGAUCAAAUUAGAGUUUAAUUAGUAUUCUAUUAGAAUCAAGAUUUUGUUGUUGCAAUUUCCAUUCUUCCUUCUACAACCAGGUAUCCGGAGCAUUUUCAAGCAAGACUUCACGUAUUACGACACUAGAAUCAAUGAAAAUCCAUCCAAUAUUCCAUGUGUCUCUUCUUGAACCAUACAAGACAGUGGACAUACCAAGAAGAAGACAAGCUCCACCUCCUCCUUGAGAAGUA
rnacentral:lncRNA from 1 species